GAAUAUUAUAGAGGGGUUUGCCACCAGCUCAACUGCAAUGGUUAGCCGCUUCCGCUGCUCAGUAGACAAACCAUUCACACCAGGCAACCCAACUAGUGCUUGUCUCAAUGGAUUCAACUCCACAAGCUCCAUGACUUCUUCAACAAACAUCUUUCUGGUUUCAGAGUUGACGUCAGAGGGUAGACGAAGCCAAGCGGAGUAGACUAAGGAUUCGUAGACAGUAACAUGUGGAGAGUGGAUGUCAUUUUGCUCA
rnacentral:misc_RNA from 1 species